GACUGAGGAAGAAGAGGGGAUUUGGCCAGGAGCAGAGGGUAGGAGACGGACCACCCUGGAAACAUGGCAUCACCCCUGGAUUUCACACUCCCCUUCUUGCCGUCACGGGCACUGUCCCUCAGCUACAGGCCCUCAGCCUCAGCCCUUGGGACCUGCACAGACCCUGCACAGCUCACAGUUCUUAGUGGAAAUCCCCAGAUCUAACUCACAGGCUGGCACGGCUCAUCUCAUGCCCCUGGGGUGGACGUGAGUGGAAUGCAGGCUGCUGGCUUCAAGGCAAGGAUACAGCAAAGACGACACCCCUCACCCCACCCUGCAGAAUCCCCUGCCAUCCCACUAUCACACCCAUCAGCCGCCCACAGGAGGGGUUUCCAGCACAUACAGCCUUCUCCCCCAGGAGCCUGUGUGUGGAUGUGGCUGUUAGCAUCAGAGGCUGCAUGUCCACCCCACCUCACCCCAAGUCGCCCUUUACCUGCUAUGAGGGAACUGGAAGCUGCAAGCAUCCUCAGCUGACAACUGCACCUCCGCGAAUGGCUGGGUCUCUGUAGUAAAACUGCGUGCGGUGGGAGGCCAUUGUGAUUGUGAUAGACCCGGGAAACCUGGUCUGACGCCCUUUUAAACUGCAGUUGGAGGAGGCUGACGAAGUAAAAAAGUUGACGUUGCCAGCUAACUAUGCGACCCUUUUGAUGUCUGUUGUCAGCCCCCCAGAACCUCUUCUUUGAGAAACUUCUGCAGUUCCUGGCCAAGGAGGUACCUACUGCCAGCGACUACUACCAAGAACAAGCAGCUCCAAAACUGGAUGGUGGGCAGAGAGAUUUUCAUCUGCUCGCCGUUAUCUCCUCGAUUUGACGAGCAGCUCCCUGGGUUUCCUCGUGGUUUGUUUCACAGGAUUCAGUGAACGUGUUCCAAGCAGCAGAGGGUCCUGGCAGUCCGACCCUGUGGGGAAUCCCCAGACUGACAUGGGGCCUCAGUAAAGGGAGUUUUUGAGAUAAGGUGGGGGUAUAGAGAAUGUACUGUGGGACAGCACCAGAAUGAAAAGGAAGUAAACCCAGGCA
rnacentral:lncRNA from 1 species